rnacentral:lncRNA from 1 species
GUCCUCAAGUUUGGUUCGAUUUCUGGUUCGAUUUCGAAUUCUUCAAGCUUGGUAAGUUGCUGCCUUUCUGGGUAUUCAGUUCUUGUGUAUGAUACUAUGAAUAAUGAAUGAUUGCUCAAGUGUGAAAAAAAAUAGUAACUAUGUUUGCAGCUGCUUGCUACUCUAGUUUUUUGUAUCAUCAUUUUUAGUUUCUGAAGAAGAAGUUAAAAUAUAUGUCGGCUGUAUUAAGAAUUUGUUUGGGCAACUUUAGAGGUUGAACUUAAAUGGAAUUUGAUUUCAUCAUGUAGAAGAUUGGAAGGGAAUGCAGAAAUAUGCACACAUCAGUGGCGUGUUUUGAUUUUUGUCUAUUAGACUUUACCAUUGGGUUAGACCAAGUCAUAUCACCAAGGCUUCUGGUGUGACUUGGUUGUAAGGUU